rnacentral:rRNA from 1 species
UACGAAGGGGACUAGCGUUGUUCGGAUUUACUGGGCGUAAAGGGCGCGUAGGCGGUCUUGUCAGUCCCUUGUGAAAUCCCCCGGCUCAACUGGGGAACUGCACGGGAAACAGCAGGGCUUGAGUUCGGGAGAGGGAAGCGGAAUUCCGGGUGUAGCGGUGAAAUGCGUAGAUAUCCGGAGGAACACCGGUGGCGAAGGCGGCUUCCUGGACCGAUACUGACGCUGAGGCGCGAAAGCUAGGGGAGCAAACGGG